rnacentral:rRNA from 1 species
GAUGAACGCUAGCGGCAGGCCUAACACAUGCAAGUCGAGGGGCAUCAUGGCGUAGCAAUACGCUGAUGGCGACCGGCGCACGGGUGCGUAACGCGUAUGGAACCUACCCACCGCAGGGGGAUAACCCGCCGAAAGGCGGACUAAUACCCCAUGGUUCCCCGACCCUGCCUGGGGUUGGGGUAAAGCCUACGGGCGCGGUGGAUGGCCCUGCGUAGCCAUUAGCUGGCUGGUGGGGUAACGGCCCACCAGGGCGACGAUGGCUAGGGGGUCUGACGAGGACGAUCCCCCACACUGGUACUGAGACACGGACCAGACUCCUACGGGAGGCAGCAGUGAGGAAUAUUGGUCAAUGGGCGGAAGCCUGAACCAGCCAUGCCGCGUGCAGGAUGACGGCCCUACGGGUUGUAAACUGCUUUUCCCCGGGGCGAAUAACCCCCUCGCGACGGGGGAGUGGCCGGUACCGGGGAACGUAAGGAGUCGGCGUAACCGUCCGUAGUCCAGCACGCCGCGGUAAACUCGUACGUCGU